rnacentral:lncRNA from 1 species
CAACCCAACCAGGGUCAACCAAACCAAACCCAACCCAACGAAAAGUCAACUAAGGUCAACCCAACCCAACCCAACCCAAAGGUUAACCAAGGUCAACCAAACCCAACCCAACCCAAGAUCAACCCAACUCAAAGGUCAACCCAAGUCAACCCAACCAACAUCAACCCAACCCAACCCAACUCAAAGUCAACCCAACCCAACCCAGCCCAAGGUCAACCCAACCCAACCCAACUCAAAGUCAACCCAACCCAAGGUCAACCCAACCUGACCCAAAGUCAACCAAACUCAACCCAACCCAAUCCAAGGUCAACCAAACCCAAACCCAACCCAAGGUCAAUCCAACCCAACUCAAAGUCAACCCAACCCAACUCAAAGUCAAUCCAACCCAACUCAAGAUCAACCCAACCAAAAGUCAACCAAGGUCAACUCAACCCAACCCAACCCAACUCAGUCAACCAAACCCAACCCAACCCAACCAAAGGUCAACCAAGGCCAACCCAACCCAACCCAACUCAAAGUCAACCCAACCCAAGGUCAACCCAACCUGACCCAAGGUCAACGAAACCCAACUCAAGGUCAGCCAAGAUCAACCCAGUCCAAGCCAAAGCUCAACCAAACUCAACCCCACCCAACCCAAGGUUCACCCAACUCAAUCUGAAGUCUGUCAAGGUCAACCCAAAUCAAAGUCAGCCAAGGUCAACCCAACCCAAGGUCAACCAAGGUCAAGCCAACCCAACUCAAAGUCAACCCAACUCAAGUCAAGGUCAACCAAAUCUAACUCAAGGUCAGCCAAGGUCAACUCAACCCAACCCAACCCAACUGAAGAUCAACUCAACCCAACAUCAACCAAGGUCAACCCAACACAAAGUCAACCCAACUCAAGGUCAACCAAGAUCAACUCAACCCAACUCAUGGUCAACCCAAGUCAAUGAAAAGCCAAACUCAACUCAAGGUCAACUCAACCCAACCCUUGGUCAACCCAACCAAUGGUCAGCAAAGGCCAAACCAACCCAACGACCAACACGAGUCAAGACCGGACAAUCGAUGGUCAAAGACCAACCCAGUGGUCACCU